rnacentral:lncRNA from 1 species
UUACACAAUGCGCUAGAGAACAAGUUUAUUUACUUUUGAACUUUUUCUACAAACAGAAAUUUCUCGCAAUAUUUUUUAUUAAUAAUUGAAAGUCAAGUAUCAAACCGAUACGGAAAUAAGCCCACGUGAAACUCAUAUAUACCAAGGUAAAUUACCGACAGUCAAGAAGUUGCUUUCGACUUCAAGUUCUUCACCAUAUCAUCCCACCUCAGCAAUGAUCAACACCAUUUAGUAACUUCUUCUGAUUUACCCACCUGUCUCCAUCAGUCCAUAUGGUCCCCGCCUUCUUAUCAUGCUCCUUCACGCCUUGUUACUGCUGACAAACAAACCACAUGUAAAUAUCUUACAGUACAUAAUAUAUUUACAACCGCGCUAUGAAUAGAUAACUCCAAAUGUAGCUUUCAGAAUUGGUCAUGCAUUCUCUGUUUUCAUACCAAGAAUGCAUUUUAUAAUUGUACUGAAACCUGUAACUGUAAACAGUUCAGGUAUAGAAAAAAUAAAAGGCCUGUCACAAUAGCCCAGCAUAACUUUGUUUUCGGUUUGCAGGACGAAAAACUGCUAAUAUGGUACUCCAAAGAGAGGGAAAAAAGUCUGAGCUUGAGUUCUGUGUCAAGUGUGGUUCUCGGACAGAAAACGGUAUCUGGUUUUCUUCCCUAAACACUUUUUAUUGAUUUAAGUAUAAGAAGACAUACAUAUUCUUAGAAUGUCUGUAUUUGCAGACAAACCUUUUGCGUUUGCAUUGGCCAGAAAAGGAACAUCACUCCUUGUCAGUCAUAUACAAGAAUGGUGAAUG